CCUUGGCCAGAUAGAAAUCAAUAUUUCACCAUUAAAAUCUAUCAAAGAAGAGUUAAGGCACCAUCUGUCCCUGCCGCCUCUCUAUGUAACUGAGUCUCGGAAAGAAUAAAAUCUGACCUGGAUUGAGAAUCUUACUUCCUGAUUUCCAAGUUACAACACUGUACUGAAAGACCGAAAGAAAAUGGGAAUCCUGGGACCACUCCAUGACAGUCCUUCAAAGGUCAAACUUGGAUUCAGUAAAGACAUCCUGGCAGAGAGAGCUACAUGAUUUCAAAAUAAAGGAUCCAAGCUUUUUAUAUCUAAAUCAGGUUACAACACAAUGUUUGGAUUGCUGUUAUGUCGACCUCACUUAUGUGGCUUCCUGGACUUCUGAACUCUGGUUUGCUUUUGCCCACACAUCUGAGUGACCCUUAAUGUGUGUGCUGCCUACCUGGUCACUGAUAUCCUACAUGUUCUUGACCUCUAACAAUAGCAAAACUUAGACUCCUGGCCAGACAACCAGGAUAUCUGUGUGCUUCCAGAUAAUUUACUGGAUAUUAUCAUCCUAGCAUACAUCUGGUGGCCUCUGUUUGUGGAUAUGCCAUUAAUACGAUCCAAGAUGCCAAGAAAGAACCAGAUAAACAGAGGUCAUUUUCUAAAAGAAGGUCUAGGGAUCCUACAGGGAGCUCCAAGUUUAAAACUGCAAGUCUCUGUGGGGCUUUCAUCCUUCAUGGCUGAGUCCAGAGAGAAAGUUGACUGAUAGUUGGAGGCCACCCCUUGACAAGAUAUUUUAAGAAGGGAGGGAGGAAGGAAGGAAGGAAAAGCAAAAGAAAGAAAAGAAAAAAGUCAAGUUCCCAAGUGUUCCUGUUUUUGGCUUUUAGCUGCAUGGUAUUUCAGAGAUUUCUUGUUCUUCUUAAAAUCUGUUAGCAAUCCUCAAAUCUACAAACAGGCUUUAGAAGACGUGGGUAGGGAGAGUAGUGAGAAAGAUUGUUUCAGAAGCAAUCCCUCUGUGAGGAAAAGCCGAAACCUAAAUUGGAUACAGCUGAAAAUAUCUCAAUCCUGCAAGAUUAGUCUUGACACCAGCCCCGCAGCAGAAGCAUUCUGUGUUAAAGGAAUUACUCCGAAGGUUUUUCCUUUCUUAUUGCCCACUUAGUUUUCUGAAAAGCCCUCUUCUGAAGCCCUGUGCUUUACUCUAAAGCAAAGCCUUUUGGGUUAUUGUCCUAAAUGGAUUCCAAUAGGAGACAUUUUGCUGGGGAUCACGAUUAAA
rnacentral:lncRNA from 12 species